rnacentral:rRNA from 1 species
GACGUAGGGCGCAAGCGUUGUCCGGAUUUAUUGGGCGUAAAGAGCUCGUAGGCGGCUUGUUGCGUCGUCCGUGAAAACCUGUGGCUCAACUACAGGCUUGCGGUCGAUACGGGCGGGCUGGAGUUCGGUAGGGGAGACUGGAAUUCCUGGUGUAGCGGUGAAAUGCGCAGAUAUCAGGAGGAACACCGGUGGCGAAGGCGGGUCUCUGGAACGGUACUGACGCUGAGACGCGAAAGCGUGGGGAGCGAACAGG